ACCACCCUCGAUCACACCUGAGUAUGUAUGUAAAGGAUCAUAUGACAUACUUCCAGUAAUCAGUGCAUCAGAUCUAACUCCUAAUUUAGGAGCAUUUUAAAGGAAGAUAUAGGAGAAAUUCUCAAUGAAUAAGAGAAUGAGAAUGGGAUUGCAAACCAUCUUCCUAAAAUUGAUAAUAAAAAAAUAAUGGACUUUAUUAAUAAUGAGGUUGCAAAUUAUCUUCUUGAGAUUGGCAAUCCAAAAUUGCUAGAAUUUAUCAAUCUAAUUUUUGAUACG
rnacentral:lncRNA from 1 species